GUGAUAAUUAACAUCUACUGAACGCCCACUCUGUGCCAGGUACUGUGACUGUGUCUUUAUAUGCCUAAUUUAAUUCAGACAACAAUCCUAUGAAGUAAGUUCUAUUAUUAUCUGCAUUUUGCUAAUGAGGAAACUGAGGCUCAAAUAGGAUGAUUGACUUGCCUGGAGUCACUGAACAAUCAGUAGCAGAGCCAGAAGGUGAAUCCUCAGGAUUUUCAUUCCCUGAUCUCCGUGUUACUUGAAUGAGGUGAAUGGUGUUGCCGAACGUUAAACUUGGAAGAAGAUUGCUGCCACCAUUCCUGGGGACUUGACUUUGACUCCGGAAAAAUUUUCAAUUUGGAUUUUAAAACAACAGGGCUGCAGGCAUUCUACUGUCUUAUAAAAAAGCAGACACGUGAGUUUAUUUUCCUCCUUCCUGCCUGGGCCAUCCACUCUCCCGUCAGUUACUGUGCUUCAGUGUUUUUCGGUCUUCAGCUCUGUUUCAGCUGUGUUUUAAUCUUUACUCGCAUCAGGCGAAGAGGGGAGUUACUGUGCUGGCUGGAGUGACUGAUCCUGACUACAAGGGGAAAUUGCACUGCUACUCCACAAUGGAGAUUCCUGCUCUUGCAGUUGGAAAAGGCCGGGACAGAGAAAGAGGAUUCUGCUAGGGGCAAGACGAAGAGGAGGGUCAGCAAACAUUGCUGCCCAGAGAGAGGACCGAAGCAUCCAGAAGUCCAGUCAGGCAUCUCUCUUCCCCAAGGUCUGCCACCUCAACCCACAGAAGAUGGGCGAACCCGGAGAAGACUGCCAUCUCCAUGCACAGGCGCUCUCAGCACCUGGAUUGAUCCGGACACAUCCUGACAUUUAAAGGUAUGAGCAGAGGAAGACAAGGAAGCAAAGGAAAAAAAAGAGAAAUUUUCAGGAAGAACAGUGUGGUCAGCAAUGACAAAUGUAAGAGAGUGGCUGAAGUUUCUGGUGAAUUGAGCCCUACCAUGCUCCAGGCUCAAGCAAGGUGCAAGGGGCAGAGAAACCGACAAGAGAGAGGAGCUCCGUGUCCCUUUGGGCCUUGCAUGCUACCAUGCUACACACAUAGGUUCCCCAAACGCCGCAUCCCACUCAUCUGACUGAAUACUUACGUCCAAAUUUUACUGGAAUCAAGGC
rnacentral:lncRNA from 1 species